rnacentral:rRNA from 1 species
GACGAACGCUGGCGGCGUGCCUAACACAUGCAAGUCGAGCGAAUGAAGUUCCUUCGGGAACGGAUUUAGCGGCGGACGGGUGAGUAACACGUGGGCAACCUGCCUCAUAGAGGGGAAUAGCCUUCCGAAAGGGAGAUUAAUACCGCAUAAGAUUGUAGUACCGCAUGGUACAGCAAUUAAAGGAGCAAUCCGCUAUGAGAUGGGCCCGCGGGCGCAUUAGCUAGUUGGUGGGGUAACGGCUACCAAGGCGACGAUGCGUAGCCGACCUGAGAGGGUGAUCGGCCACAUUGGGACUGAGACACGGCCCAGACUCCUACGGGAGGCAGCAGUGGGGAAUAUUGCACAAUGGGGGAAACCCUGAUGCAGCAAACGCCGCGUGAGUGAUGACGGCCU